CAGUACUCGAUCCACGUCUAACAUCAAACCCUAUCAGCGCUGGCCGGAUUCUUCUCAAUUCCCUCACCAGCGUGUGAAUUCUCAGGUUAUCUCGUCAUCUCUCUGUAAUCCUUGUCCUUUGUUGGUUCUGCAUCUUCGACUUCCAUUGAAUUCUUUAUCUCUUACCUCUAGUCUUGAGCAAUUGCGCGAAAACAAUCAAUUUGCAACUUAAAUAUAUUAGAUUUCAAUAAUCGUCUUCAGUAGGCCAAGAAUUGUUGCGAAUAAUCGUCUUCAGUAGGCUAAGGAUUGUUGCGAAUCAACCGAAAUCCAGAUAUCAUGUUGCUGCUGUCAACAAUGUUAUCAAUACUUGGAUUCCAAUGAAAUACGUCUUGUUACCUCAAAGGUAUAGAAGAGAAUUAGACUUCAGUUGACUUGAGGGUGGCAUUUCCUCUACGAAUUGGGUUGCUUAUGUCAGACUAUCAUAAAUCCAAGUCUCAGGUGAAAUUAUGCUGACAUGAUAUGGUUCUCUCUUUUUGUGACUUGGUAGUUUAUUGGAAAAAGUCAGAUAUUAUCCCUUCUAAAAGGUGUCCAUGCAACCAAUUUAGGUUCAUAUUCUGAAUAACCAUUUGCAAUUUCAUAUUAAUCACAUUGAGUAGUUUUGUUUGAUUAGAGGAUUUAUUGUCUGAAGCCUAUAUUUUUUUAAUCUUUUUUUUUUGUCUUUUGGCAAUGUUGUGGGAAGUCGUGGUGUGACAAUUCUGGUGCACCUUGCAUUCUUUAAAUGCUAGUUGUUUCAAAGUUUUUGUAUCUGGUAUUCUGUUAUGUAUUAUGUUUCCAUGUGGAAUUCUUUUAGACUGAUGAUAUGACAAUGUGAUCCAAUCCGGGGUAGUGUGCAGAUUAUUUUCAUAUAUUAAACGAACUCCAAACUUUUAUAUUAUCAUUACUGAUUAUAUUUUUUUUGUCUUUUUUUUUUCUCCUUUUGAAGGUACUCGAAAAUAAUGAAGGUAUAACAGAUCAAGAAGGGAUGGCUUCAAAGUAGCUACCAUCGUAUCGUCAUCUAUUUUGCUAGUGCGCUAGAUCUUAUUAGUUUAGCUUAUUUUCAAGGUUUCACUUUGGAUAUUUUUAUUAGACUUAACUUCGACAUACAAUUUGCAAUUAUGUUUAUAGAAAAAUAUUGGCUAGGAUUUUGGUGAAUAAGCAAUAUUUGUAGAUUUUAAUUAUAUUAGUAUACAUUUAUAAUAUAUUGAUCAAAGUAUUUUUUUU